GAUGAAGAACGUAGUGAAAUGCGAUAAGUAAUGUGAAUUGCAGAAUUCAGUGAAUCAUCGAAUCUUUGAACGCACAUUGCGCCCCUUGGUAUUCCGGGGGGCAUGCCUGUUCGAGCGUCAUUUCAACCCUCAAGCUCAGCUUGGUAUUGAGUCCAUGUCAGUAAUGGCAGGCUCUAAAAUCAGUGGCGGCGCCGCUGGGUCCUGAACGUAGUAAUAUCUCUCGUUACAGGUUCUCGGUGUGCUUCUGCCAAAACCCAAAUUUUCUAUGGUUGACCCCGGAUCAGGUAGGGAUACCCGCUGAACUUAAGCAUAUCAAUAAGCGGAGGA
rnacentral:misc_RNA from 1 species